UAUGGCCAUAUCACAUUGAAACACCAAUUCUCAUACAAUCACUGAAGUUAAGCAAUGUCAAACUUGGUUACUAGAUGGGUGACUGCUUGGGAAUACCAGGUGCUGUAA